UACGUAGGGUGCGAGCGUUGUCCGGAAUUACUGGGCGUAAAGAGCUCGUAGGUGGUUUGUCGCGUCUGCUGUGAAAUCUGGGGGCUCAACCCCCAGCCUGCCGUGGGUACGGGCAGACUAGAGUGCGGUAGGGGAGAUUGGAAUUCCUGGUGUAGCGGUGGAAUGCGCAGAUAUCAGGAGGAACACCGAUGGCGAAGGCGGCAUCCUGGACCGACACUGACGCUGAGGCACGAAAGCGUGGGGAGCAAACAGG
rnacentral:rRNA from 1 species